ACCACCAGAAUCCCUUCAUCCUCUGAUCCUCUCUCUCUCUCUCUCUCUCUCUCUCUCACCCUACACCCAAAACCACCCCUCGACACCAUUUCUUCUCCUUACCAAGAACCUCCACACCAAAAUUCUUCUCCUCACCAAGAUCCAUUUUCUUCCUCACCAAGAAUCAAAAUCCACCUCACCAAAAUUCUCAUCAAUUUCUCAAGGGAUUUCAAGGAGCAUCAAGAUUUGAGAUUGGGUAUAGUGGGAAGCCAUAAAUCAAGGCUUGUCAUAUUUGCUCUAUAGUAAUUGUGACUUGUUCUUGUUACUUCUCACUCUUCUUCACCUUUACCUCUUUAAUUGAUGUAUAUUGUUGUUGAUUUGUGGAUGGGUUGUGAGUAGUCUAUUUAGGAAGCUAGGGUUUGAGCUCUAGCAUGGAUUUAAUGUAAUAAAUAUGUUUUGAUUUAAUGGUUUUCAA